rnacentral:rRNA from 1 species
GGAUGAACGCUGGCGGCGUGCCUAAUACAUGCAAGUCGAGCGAACAGACGAGGAGCUUGCUCCUCUGACGUUAGCGGCGGACGGGUGAGUAACACGUGGAUAACCUACCUAUAAGACUGGGAUAACUUCGGGAAACCGGAGCUAAUACCGGAUAACAUGUUGAACCGCAUGGUUCAACAGUGAAAGACGGUCUUGCUGUCACUUAUAGAUGGAUCCGCGCCGCAUUAGCUAGUUGGUAAGGUAACGGCUUACCAAGGCAACGAUGCGUAGCCGACCUGAGAGGGUGAUCGGCCACACUGGAACUGAGACACGGUCCAGACUCCUACGGGAGGCAGCAGUAGGGAAUCUUCCGCAAUGGGCGAAAGCCUGACGGAGCAACGCCGCGUGAGUGAAGAAGGUCUUCGGAUCCUAAAACUCUGUUAUUAGGGAAGAACAAAUGUGUAAGUAACUAUGCACGUCUUGACGGUACCUAAUCAGAAAGCCACGGCUAACUACGUG